UGCACUGGAUUUCUGUCAGGUCCACUUUAUUUUAUUUAUUUAUUUAUUUUUGUUAGGUCCACAUUAAACACGUGUGUCAUACUCUCAGCUCUUCAGCAGGCCUUAUCAGAAUAGCUUUCUAGGUUGUAUUCUGACAACUCAGUCUCAUUCUCCUCUUUCCCUCCUGAUUUGAUCAUGUUGCAGAUGCAGGCUGGUCUGAUCUAAGAGGGCUGAACUCUUGCCAAUGUGAUGUGAUUUGAGAGCCUAAGAAGGAUUGCCCCAUAAUGUAGGGGCCUCCCACGUCUUCUACCCUCACCCCCAGCCUGGUGUCGCUCAUAGGAACCAACUCAGCAGAGACUGAUUCCUUGGUGUUCCUGGCAAAGCUUUGUCUGUCUUCUCCACCAGAAUGUAGAAUCCAUGAAGCUGAUCCUUUGUUCUGCUCAUCACUUUCUUUACAGAGUCCAAGUCGCUUAGGCGUGUAACAGGAGCUCAAUUGGCAUGUGGGAUGUUAGCUUCCCAACCAGGGAUCAACCACAUACCCUCUGCACUGAAAGGCAAAGUCUGAAAAUCACUGAACUUCAAUAGAAGUCCCUCAACAGACAACUGACUUUGAUUUGGAAAAGCACCCUCUUUGCAGUUUAGAAGAUGAGUUGGAAGAAUGUAAGGCAGGAGGACCUUAAGUUUGUCUUGAGAAACCUUUGAUUAUACCACAUCAGAAUAAAGCUCUUAACUCU